CACCAGUGUCCAUUCUUCUCAUCUUUAAUGAGAUGAGAAGCUGAAAGCUCAGCAAGACUGGGAGGUGAGCCCCCAAAGGACAUUGGACUUUGACUCAGUGACUCAUUGGUUAACAUGUCCUGUUUUGCAGAAGGUAAAAGUGCUCUUCUGGGAAAGUAAUUAUCAAGCUCUAACAGUGAGAUCUGAAUGUAACUUCAACAGAUGCCAUCAUUUUUUAGGUUUGUCACUUAUGGAAACUCCACUCAGCCUCCUGGAAUCUGGGGACAUUUAUUCAAUGUACUGUGGGGCAAUGGUCUGACCCUGAAGCAAGAACACUACUUUGAAAGUAAAACUACUAAAUAAUUAACAAGUGUACCUACUCAAAGUUGGACUUUGGCCAAGGUGUUAGGAAUGUUACUCAGAAAAUGACUAAGAAGAAAAGAAACACAGAUGCACAGACACAGAGGAAAGAUGGCCGUGUGAAGACAGAGUCAGAGAUUGGAGUGAUGCUGCCACAAGCCAAGGAAUGCCUGGGGCCACCAGAGCCUAAAAGAGACAAGGAAAACAUUUUCUCUAGAAACUUCAGAGAGAGCAUGGCUCCGACAACAACUUCAUAUCAGACUUCUGGCCUCUUGAUCUGUGAAAGAAUGCACUUCUGUUGUUUUACACUACCCAGGGUAAAUACCUUUUGAAUGAACUUGCUGCAUUGUAUGGUCCUGCUUUCAGUGUCAUAACUGAGAACUCUGCCUAAUCCAAGGCUCUGAAACUUUUCUCCUGUAUUUUCUUCUAAAAGUUUUAUAGUUUUAGCUCUUACAUUUAGGUCUAUAUUCCAUUUUGAGUUAAUUUUUGUUUGUAGUGUGAGAUAAGGGGCUAAAUUUAUCAUUUGGUAUAUGGCUAUCUAAUUGUCCCAGCACUAUUUGUUAGAAAGACUUUAGUUUCUUCAUUGUAUUUCCUUGUCACCUUUGUCAAAAAUUAACUGACCAUAAAUUUUUAUUUCUGGACUCUCACUUCUGUUCCAUUUAUCUAUCUGCCUAUCCUAAUACUAUGUAUAUUUUUAAGUUAAUCUUUAGUCAAAAUAGGAUUAUUGCCAGUUUGUACCACUUCUGAGAUUAUGACAUUUCCCAUCUUGAUUGGGCACUAAUGUCUUUGUAUUUUUGUUUUCUUUCCUAAUAGCAAAAGGAAAACACUUUAGAAAUUUUCUCCCUCAUGUACUCUCUAAAAUUAUGUUAAUUUCUCAUUGAAACAUACAAACACUUCCAAAGAAGAAAGACACAGAUAUUUGUCAUUGGAAAACAUUAUGAUUCAGAUUCAGUGGAAUGAAGAGGGAUUGAUCUAGCAGUUUGGAGGCUGCCAAUAUCCUGGAAGAUCUUAGUGGUCAGGGAUUGAGAUGGAAACCUCCAAUUUUCUUUUAAAAUUGUUCAUACAUUUGUCAUUAUAUUUUUGCCAAAAUUUUGAAUAAUUUUUUUAAGGCAAAUUCCCAGAAUUUGAAAUACCAAAUACAAGGCAGAUGAACAUUUUGUUAUAUCAAAGUGAUAAGAAUAAACAUUUAUUCUUCUGGCUCAAGUGAGACAGUAUGCACAAUAUAUUAUAAAAAUUGGAGGUAGCUAUUGGAUAAUGAAAUGUAUAAUGCAGUCAAUAUUGUACAUAUUAAUUGUAUUAAAUGCAAAAUGUAAUUUAUGGCACAAUUUAAUGAAAUUGAUUUA